rnacentral:rRNA from 1 species
GAUGAACGCUGGCGGCGUGCCUAAUACAUGCAAGUCGAGCGAACGGACGAGAAGCUUGCUUCUCUGAUGUUAGCGGCGGACGGGUGAGUAACACGUGGAUAACCUACCUAUAAGACUGGGAUAACUUCGGGAAACCGUAGCUAAUACCGGAUGAUAUUUUGAACCGCAUGGUUCAAAAGUGAAAGACGGUCUUGCUGUCACUUAUAGAUGGAUCCGCGCUGCAUUAGCUAGUUGGUAAGGUAACGGCUUACCAAGGCAACGAUGCAUAGCCGACCUGAGAGGGUGAUCGGCCACACUGGAACUGAGACACGGUUCAGACUCCUACGGGAGGCAGCAGUAGGGAAUCUUCCGCAAUGGGCGAAAGCCUGACGGAGCAACGCCGCGUGAGUGAUGAAGGUCUUCGGAUCGUAAAACUCUGUUAUUAGGGAAGAACAUAUGUGUAAGUAACUGUGCACAUCUUGACGGUACCUAAUCAGAAAGCCACGGCUAACUACGUG